rnacentral:lncRNA from 1 species
AUGAAUUCUUUUCUCAUCCCCCCAUUCUAUUUGUUUGUAAACAUCACUUUAUACCAAGUACAUAUGCACACAAAAAAAGGCUCCCUAUGAGUACCUAGGACACGUUGGGUUCUAACACCUUCCCUCUGUGUAACCAACCCCCUUACCUGUAAUCUCUGACAUUUUAUUAGUUUUGAUUUGAAAACUUCUUACUUUUUGGGUUUU